AUUCUUGAGAUGACGAAAAAUUCCGGAUGUAAACCAUUACUAUACUCCGAGAGCGCAAAACCCAUGUGGAGAUUUCCGUUGCCUUCCUUCUGAUCAAACCU
rfam:Pseudogymnoascus pannorum VKM F-4519 (FW-2642) contig_1862, whole genome shotgun sequence.